UUGUUUCAGGUUAUUUUGGUCUGCUACAUCAGCAAAGGAGAAAAUGGCUGUGCUUUUCUAGGUCCAACUGAAACAGAAGAGGCUUGAAAGGGAGAAAAUGGAGUUGUAUUCCCUUGAAGUGUGAGUGAUUUCUUGUAAGCAAGUUUAAUAAGCGGAGCAACGGCACAGACAGGAAUGAAGCAGAGGUGGCUCUAGCCCUGAAAGCUCUGGUGCAAAUAACUCUGAGCUGUGGGGGAGCUCAGACGGAGGUUUCAUUCCACCCAUGCGCUGCCCGCUGGGCCCCUCUCUGAAGCAUAGGUGUUUUCAACUGGUUUAUCGCAGAGUGGUUGAUCUAAGAGAGACCUGGAAUAAGGCUGUAUUGUCAUCCCCGGUACAGGGAACUGAAGUUAAAAAAAGACUACAACCCUUUCUGCUUCUUUAGAGAGAAAUUGGCUGCAAUAUCCAGACAGUUCUCUGCUCCCUCCCCUCGCCUCUUGAGUUCAAGCCCUGUGAUGGAUGAGAGGGCCCAGUCCAUGGUCACCAUUUAUGCACUGGUUACUUAAGUAUAUUAUCAACAGAGCCAUCCCUUGGGGGGGCGAAUCAGGGCAACCGCCCUGGGCCCCAUGCUUUGGGGGGCCCUGCGGACAGUGCUGUACAGGCCCCGCUGGCCACCACGAUCUGGCUGCUCACUGCCCUGCUGUGCUCCAGCCACUUACCACAUCCCACACAGGCCCUGUACAGCCUGAUAUGCCCCGGGCCCCACACACCCCUAGGGUUGUCUCUGAUUAUCAACAUUCUUCCUGAUCACAUGGUAGGAAGUGAUGCUUGUAAAUUUGUCACGGAGCAGAAAUAUGAGCCAGUCAGUCAAGCUAGUUGGCUGGACAAGCCUUGUCCAGCUUGGAAACAACUUGAUAAGUGACAAGACUCUUCAUUCAUACACGUCGUAUACACCCCAGGCUUCCAGCAAGCUCUUGUGCAUGCUUUGUGGACAGGCCCCUCCAGGCCUGGUAUGCCACUUUUUUUUUCCACUUGGAAACCUCCAAAAUGUUUAUGUUCUUGAUGAAUUGUCCGGGCUGAAAUACUGAGAUAAAACCAUAAUUAGCAAAACAGAGUGUCUUCAAACUCCAUCCCAUUCUAGGACUCACAGGCAAAUUGCUGACCACUGGAAUUCGGAAACUCUUAAAAAUAAAUAGUCUAUUAUUAUGUGA